rnacentral:lncRNA from 9 species
CUUAGAGAUACAGAUUGCUAGGCCUCUUCCCAGAACUAGAAUUUCUAAGGGAGAGGUCCAGGAAUCUUAUUUUUAGCAAGCGUUCCAGAUGAUUCACAUCAGCAGUCAAGUUUGGGAAAUCCUGCUCUGUGGUGUUAUGUAAUCCUCAGGUGCGGAGAACCCAGUAGAGGAGAUAAGAGGGAGAAAUGGAAGUUGAAGUGGGAAAAGAGAGGCAGUCAAUAAUUUAUUGGAGCCUGAAGAUUAACAGCCUGAUCUGCUGCAGCUACACCUGUGGGAGGAAAUGUGCUGAAAGCAGGAAGACAAGGAAGGCCACGCAAAUGUCCACCUCAGCAGUUACUGGGCACCUGCCUCUGGGGAAGGAGUCUGAUGGGAAGCAAAUCCUUUGGGCGAGGCAGGCUUCUGCUGGAAGCCAAGCUUGUCCAGCCCUCCCUCUCCCUUGUGGGGAGAGAACUCACUGCUCUGGAACGCAGGACUGACCAAUGAAGACAGACUGCCACCUUUUCUCUUCCUGAGCAGCCAUCACACUCUUCCAUCUUCCAUCACACUCUACUCACUGCUUAGGAAACAACACCUUCUGCUUUUCCAGUUGUUUCUCUAGCAGGACCUGGCUGCAUGGUUAUUACUGUGUAUGCUCCUCUUAGGAUUCCUAUGGGUGGCAAUGAUGUUUGCUAUAUCCGGGACUGGCCAUUACAAUUUCUCUGCAAUAUUCUUGGCUCUCUUUCUCCUCUCUGAGCACCUGGAGGUGAAGGACUCGGAUGUGGUGGAAUCCAUGAUGCAAGGAUCCAGAUUCCUGAUCCCUGCAUGAACAAGAACCUACCAGACCUGCUUGGAACUGUGAGAGCAGUGAGAAAUUACACCACUAAGGUUUUAGGGUUGAUAUCCUGGUUAACACAUCCCUGUGGAUUGGAGACUUUACAAUGAUCAAUGUCAAUUCCUCUUUAUGGGCUCCAGAGCUAGAGAUAGUGCAUGGCAUGGACGCAAGCGAAAAUGCUCUAGGUUGAGAUUGCUGAGGAGUCACGAACACUUUGGCCCCUAAAGCAGAGCUAUUGAAACUCUGUUCUUUGGAUAAAAUGGUAUAAAGUUAGAAGAAGAGAUUUGGGAGUUCCUGCUGUGGUGCAAUGGAUUAAGAAUCUGACCUCAGUGGCUUGGUUCUCAGUGGAGGCAUGGGCUUAAUCCCUGUCCUGGUGCAAUUGGUUAAAUGAUCCAGUGUUGCCACAGCUGUGGCAUAGGGUGAAGUUGCGGCUUGGAUUUAGUCUUUGGCCUGGGAACUUCUAUAUGCCCCAGGUUUGCCCAUUUAAAAAAAAAUAAAAACAAAACAGGUUUGGAUUCAUAUUUACUUGAGUUCAAAUUGUCGCCUUGCCACUUAUUAUC